rnacentral:rRNA from 2 species
UGGGGAAUAUUGCACAAUGGGCGCAAGCCUGAUGCAGCAACGCCGCGUGAGUGAUGAAGGCCUUCGGGUCGUAAAACUCUGUCCUAAGGGAAGAUAAUGACGGUACCUUAGGAGGAAGCCCCGGCUAACUACGUGCCAGCAGCCGCGGUAAUACGUAGGGGGCAAGCGUUAUCCGGAAUUACUGGGCGUAAAGGGUGCGUAGGUGGCCUGACAAGUCAGGGGUCAAAGGCAACGGCUCAACCGUUGUAAGCCCUUGAAACUGUCGGGCUUGAGUUCAGGAGAGGAAAGCGGAAUUCCUAGUGUAGCGGUGAAAUGCGUAGAUAUUAGGAGGAACACCAGUGGCGAAGGCGGCUUUCUGGACUGAUACUGACACUGAGGCACGAAAGCGUGGGGAGCAAACAGG